rnacentral:rRNA from 1 species
AAUUCGAUGAUACGCGAGGAACCUUACCUGGGCUCAAAUGUAUGUUGACGUAUUCUGAAAGGGAUACUUCUUCGGACAAUAUACAAGGUGCUGCAUGGUUGUCGUCAGCUCGUGCCGUGAGGUGUCGGGUUAAGUCCCAUAACGAGCGCAACCCUAUCAUUAGUUGCCAUCAGGUCAAGCUGGGGACUCUAAUGAAACUGCCUACGCAAGUAGUGAGGAAGGUGGGGAUGACGUCAAAUCAGCACGGCCCUUACGUCCAGGGCUACACACGUGCUACAAUGGCCGGUACAAAGGGCAGCUACCUGGUGACAGGAUGCUAAUCUCAAAAGCCGGUCUCAGUUCGGAUCGGAGUCUGCAACCCGACUCCGUGAAGCUGGAAUCGCUAGUAAUCGUGAAUCAGAAUGUCACGGUGAAUACGUUCCCGGGCCUU